AGCGAACGCUGGCGGCAUGCCUAACACAUGCAAGUCGCACGGGGGGGCUUCGGCCUCCCAGUGGCGGACGGGUGAGGAACGCGUAGGGACCUGUCGAGGGGUGGGGGAUAACCGCGGGAAACUGCGGCUAAUACCGCAUGACGCCGCGGCGUGACAGCCGGGGCCAAAGGCGAAAGCCGCCCGCCGAGGGGCCUGCGUCCGAUUAGCUGGUUGGCGGGGUAGCGGCCCACCAAGGCGUCGAUCGGUAGCUGGUCUGAGAGGGUGAUCAGCCACACCGGGACUGAGACACGGCCGGGACUCCUACGGGAGGCAGCAGUGGGGAAUAUUGGACAAUGGGCGCAAGCCUGAUCCAGCAAUGCCGCGUGGGUGAAGAAGGUCUUCGGAUUGUAAAGCCCUUUCGGCGGGGACGAUGGUGACGGUACCCGCAGAAGAAGCCCCGGCUAACUUCGUG
rnacentral:rRNA from 1 species